AGGCAGCAGUAAGKAAUAUUGGRCAAUGGAGGRAACCCUGAUCCAGCCAUGCCGCGUGUAUGAAGAAGGCCUAUGGGUUGUAAAGUACUUUUAUCUAGGAAGAAGCCGUCAUUUAUGAUGGACGAGCCGUMCUAGAGGAAUAAGCACCGGCUAACUCCGUGCCAGCAGCCGCGGUAAUACGGAGGGUGCAAGCGUUAUCCGGAAUCACUGGGUUUAAAGGGUACGCAGGCGGUUAUAUAAGUCARUACUCAAAGGCUGUGGCUAAACCACGGUACGCGUUUGAAACUGUAUAACUUGAAUAUGUUUGAAGUGUGUAGAAUGCGUCAUGUAGCGGUGAAAUGCAUAGAUAUGACGUAGAAUACCAAAAGCGAAGGCAGCACACUAAGGCAUUAUUGACGCUGAGGUACGAAAGCGUGGGUAGCGAACAGGAUUAGAUACCCUGGUAGUCCACGCCCUAAACGAUGACUAACUGGUUAUUUGUGCUGAGUGCAAGUAACUGAGGGUAAACCAUAGUUAGCCCACCUGGGGAGUACGUCGCAAGAAUGAAACUCA
rnacentral:rRNA from 1 species